GCUCUUCCUCAUGUUUAUGGUCGCGCUCGCGGGCGCGCUGUACUUCGCCAAACACGUCGAGGACGAGAUAAACAAGCGGACGACGCGACGCUUGGACGGAUCUGCGGACGCGUUGGUUGCGCCGUUUCCCGAGACCGGAAACGCAUAUAAGGUGAGUUUGUAAACGGAAAGAUAUAAAAUGUUUUACACUGGUUUACUAUUAUAAUAUUUUAAGUCGUUCUUGUUUAUAAUAGCAUAGGUUUUUCAUGUUUGGAGAUGCACCAUGGAAUUACUUCGAUAUGAUUGGACAUGACAAUACAGUACAUUUAAAUAAAUUGCAAACACCAUCAAAUAUGAUUAUGAUAUUCAUUUAAUAACAUUACUUUUUAUCAGUUGACAAUACUGUUAGAUAAAGGUUCCAAUAAGAACCUUUAGAAUUCUAAUUCUAUAAUACUAAUAACAACAGUUUUUUUUUUUUUUUAAUAAUUGGUAAACAGCUUGAUGCAAUAGAAAGAAAGAAAAAAUGUGUUUUAAUUAACGCCAAACUGAAGAACCUAUAAUGAAACAAAGAAUAUUUGAAUGUACUGUAAAUCGAACCAUGCAGCAUCUCCGUAACGCUGCAGAGCCGAAAUGGAUUCGUGAGAAAUGAAACAGACCAGGGCUGUUUUCUGAACCUGUCUCUGAUGUCUCGUUUCCUCUGUCUUCCUUUUUCUAGAUGCAGAAUUUUGCCUACCUGAGGGCCACUGAAAGUAAACUCAAAUCAGGUGUGAUGGCGUGGGAAUCUAUCGCGUAUGGAAGCGGUCAAACCAUCGGCUCUCUCUACAGCUUUGAUCAAAAACAGAAUGUGCUGAACGUGAAUGAGAGUGGAAGCUACUUCCUGUAUGUCCAGCUCACUUUUUCCUGCACUGGAAUAUGUCCAUCUGACCAGUUCACGGUCAGCUUUUAUAAUCAGCGCAAUAGCGUGGAGCUCACCUGCACCGUCUCACUGCCUAAAUGGAGCGAAGAAACACCCAUUAGCAAGACAUGUUGGCGUGUCGUUACCUUUCCGGAAGAUGGAAACCGCCUUGUAGCCAAAUCCCAGUUUAAAGAAACACUAGACUGGAAACUGGAGAUGAAUGACUCUGGCUUUGGGAUGUUUCUGGUGGACGGAUUACGAGCGGUACAUCACACAUGA
ensembl:lncRNA